rnacentral:rRNA from 1 species
AGUCAAGUAAUGAAGUGCACAUGGUGGAUGCCUUGGCAGUCAGAGGCGAUGAAAGACGUGACAGCCUGCGAAAAGCGUCGGGGAGGCGGCAAUAUCCUGUGAUCCGGCGAUAUCUGAAUGGGGAAACCCACUUGUCAUAAGACAGGUAUCGUAAAUUUAUUUACGAGGCAAACCGGGAGAAGUGAAACAUCUCAGUAACCCGAGGAAAAGACAUCAAUAGAGAUUCCCCUAGUAGCGGCGAGCGAACGGGGAGGAGCCGACUGAUUAUAAUUUAGAGGAAUGACUUGGAAAGGUCAAUCGUAGAGGGUGAUAAUCCCGUACUCGAAAGGUUAUAAGAAGCAUAUUAAGUAGGGCGGAACACGAGAAAUUCUGUCUGAAGAUGGGGGACCAUCCUCCAAGGCUAAAUACUCCUGACUGACCGAUAGUGAACCAGUACCGUGAGGGAAAGGCGAAAAGAACCCCUGUGAGGGGAGUGAAAUAGAACCUGAAACCGUGUGCAUACAAGCAGUCGGAGCGGACAUGUUCCGUGACGGCGUACCUUUUGUAUAAUGGGUCAGCGACUUAUAUUCUGUAGCAAGGUUAACCGAAUAGGGGAGCCGUAGGGAAACCGAGUCUUAAUAGGGCGUCUAGUUGCAGGGUAUAGACCCGAAACCGAGUGAUCUAUCCAUGAGCAGGUUGAAAGUGACGUAACAGUUACCGGAGGACCGAACCCACUGUCGUUGAAAAGCCAGGGGAUGACUUGUGGAUAGGGGUGAAAGGCUAAUCAAACUCGGUGAUAGCUGGUUCUCCCCGAAAGCUAUUUAGGUAGCGCCUCGGACGAACACCAUUGGGGGUAGAGCACUGUUUCGGCUAGGGGGUCAUCCCGACUUACCAAACCGAUGCAAACUCCGAAUACCGAUGAGUGAUAUCCGGGAGACAGACGGCGGGUGCUAACGUCCGUCGUCAAGAGGGAAACAACCCAGACCGCCAGCUAAGGCCCCAAAUUCCUAGUUAAGUGGGAAACGAUGUGGGAAGGCACAGACAGCUAGGAGGUUGGCUUAGAAGCAGCCAUCCUUUAAAGAAAGCGUAAUAGCUCACUAGUCGAGUCGGCCUGCGCGGAAGAUGUAACGGGGCUCAAACUAGGAGCCGAAGCUGCGGAUUUAAUUGUUUCAAUUAAGUGGUAGGGGAGCAUUGUGUAAGCCUGUGAAGGUGUGUUGUAAAGCAUGCUGGAGGUAUCACAAGAGCGAAUGCUGACGUGAGUAACGACAAAACGGGUGAAAAGCCCGUUCGCCGGAAGACCAAGGGUUCCAGUCCAACGUUAAUCGGGGCUGGGUGAGUCGACCCCUAAGGCGAGGCCGAAAGGCGUAGUCGAUGGGAAAUCGGUUAAUAUUCCGAUACUUGUUUAUGAUGCGAUGGAGGGACGGAGAAGGUUAUGCCAGCUUGGCGAUGGUUGUCCAAGUGGAAGGAUGUAGUUAGGUUUAGUAGGCAAAUCCGCUAGACUAUUAAUGAGAUCUGAUAGCAAGCUGUACUUGUACAGCGAAGUGGCAAAUACCCUGCUUCCAGGAAAAGCUUCUAAGCGAUAGUCAUAAAGAAAUCGUACCCUAAACCGACACAGGUGGUCAGGUAGAGAAUACCAAGGCGCUUGAGAGAACUCUGCUGAAGGAACUAGGCAAAAUGGUACCGUAACUUCGGGAGAAGGUACGCUGCCGAUGGUGAGUAGACAUGCUCUACAAAGCUAUUGGCAGUCGCAGAUACCAGGCCGCUGCAACUGUUUAUUAAAAACACAGCACUCUGCAAACACGAAAGUGGACGUAUAGGGUGUGAUGCCUGCCCGGUGCUGGAAGGUUAAUUGAUGGGGUUAGCGUAAGCGAAGCUCUUGAUCGAAGCCCCAGUAAACGGCGGCCGUAACUAUAACGGUCCUAAGGUAGCGAAAUUCCUUGUCGGGUAAGUUCCGACCUGCACGAAUGGCAUAAUGAUGGCGGCGCUGUCUCCAGCAGAGACUCAGUGAAAUCGAAAUCGCAGUGAAGAUGCUGUGUACCCGCGGCUAGACGGAAAGACCCCGUGAACCUUUACUACAGCUUUACAUUGAACUUUGACCUUACCUGUGUAGGAUAGGUGGGAGGCUUUGAAGCAGGCACGCCAGUGUCUGUGGAGCCAUCCUUGAAAUACCACCCUGGUAAUGUUGGGGUUCUAACUCAAGCUUAACAGAGCUGAGGACAAUGUAUGGUGGGUAGUUUGACUGGGGCGGUCUCCUCCUAAAGAGUAACGGAGGAGUACGAAGGUGCGCUCAGAACGGUCGGAAAUCGUUCGAAGAGUAUAAAGGCAAAAGCGCGCUUAACUGCGAGACCCACAAGUCGAGCAGAUACGAAAGUAGGUCUUAGUGAUCCGGUGGUUCUGUAUGGAAGGGCCAUCGCUCAACGGAUAAAAGGUACUCUGGGGAUAACAGGCUGAUACCGCCCAAGAGUUCAUAUCGACGGCGGUGUUUGGCACCUCGAUGUCGGCUCAUCUCAUCCUGGGGCUGAAGCAGGUCCCAAGGGUAUGGCUGUUCGCCAUUUAAAGAGGUACGCGAGCUGGGUUUAGAACGUCGUGAGACAGUUCGGUCCCUAUCUACCGUGGGCGUUGGAAAUUUGAGAGGAUCUGCUCCUAGUACGAGAGGACCAGAGUGGACGAACCUCUGGUGUUUCGGUUGUGACGCCAGUCGCAUUGCCGAGUAGCUAUGUUCGGAUGGGAUAACCGCUGAAAGCAUCUAAGCGGGAAGCCCACCUUAAGAUUAGAUUUCCCUAAAGAGCCGUUGUAGACUACGACGUUGAUAGGUUGGGUGUGGAAGCAUAGUGAUAUGUGUAGCUAACCAAUACUAAUUGCUCGUUUGGCUUGACUAU